AGACCCUAUGAAGCUUGACUGUAGCUUGGAAUUGGGUUCGCGCUCUUCUUGCGCAGCCUAGGGGGAGGCGUUGAAAGCUUUCUAUUGGGAAAGCUGGAGCCAUCAGUGAGAGACCACUGUGGAGGAGCUAGAAUUCUAAUGGCGUUCCUUAAGCAGGACGCUUGACAGUUUCAGGUGCGCAGUUUGACUGGGGCGGUCACCCUAAAAGGUAACGGAGGUGUGCAAAGGUUCCCUCAGGCUGGACGGAAAUAGCCGUAGAGUGUAAAGGCAGAAGGGAGCUUGACUGCAAGACCUACAAUCGAGCAGGGGCGAAAGCCGGCCUUAGUGAUCCGACGGUUCCAUGUGGAAGGCCGUCGCUCAACGGAUAAAAGUUACUCUAGGGAUAACAGGCUGA
rnacentral:rRNA from 2 species